rnacentral:rRNA from 1 species
GAUGAACGCUAGCGGCACGCCUAAUACAUGCAAGUCAAGGGGAUCAGCAAUGGUCACCGGCGGACGGGUGCGUAACGCGUACAGAACGUGCCUUUGGGCGUCUGAGUGGGGGAUAACAUUGGGAAAGAGGGCUAAUACCGCAUGAGACCACGCCUCUGAGAGGAGGAGGGGUCAAAGCCGGGUCCAUGAAUCUGGCGCUUGGAGAUGAGCCUGCGGCCCAUCAGCUAGUUGGCGGGGUAACGGCCC